rnacentral:rRNA from 1 species
UACAGAGGUGGCAAGCGUUGUUCGGCCUUACUGGGCGUAAAGGGCGCGUGGGCGGCCCGCCAAGUCCUGUGUGAAAGCCCCCGGCUCAACCGGGGAACGGCGCGGGAAACUAGCAGGCUUGAGUUCGGGAGAGGGAAGCGGAAUUCCGGGUGUAGCGGUGAAAUGCGCAGAUAUCCGGAGGAACACCGGUGGCGAAGGCGGCUUCCUGGACCGACACUGACGCUGAGGCGCGAAAGCUAGGUGAGCAAACGGG